rnacentral:rRNA from 1 species
UACGAGUUGCUCCUCACUGGCGAGGUUAAGUUCAUAAUUAACGGAGCCGCAGCGAAAGCGAGUCCAAAUAGGGCGACUAGUCAGUGGGGGCAGACGCGAAACUUUGUGAUCUAUCCAUGGGCAGGAUGAAGGUGUGGUAACACACACUGGAGGUCCGAACUCAUUAGCGUUGAAAAGCUAUGGGAUGACCUGUGGAUAGGGGUGAAAGGCCAAUCAAACUGAGAGAUAGCUCGUUCUCCCCGAAAUGUUUUUAGGAACAGCGUCACAUAAAGAAGUAUGUUAGAGGUAGAGCUACUGAUUGGGCUAGGGGGCUUCACCGCCUACCAAACCCUGACAAACUCCGAAUGCUAAUAUAUAUCUGUGGCAGUGAGGCUGCGGGCGCUAAGGUCCGUGGCCGAGAGGGAAAUAACCCAGAUUAUCAAUUAAGGCCCCUAAGUCUAUAUUAAGUUGAACAAACGAAGUUUGAAUCCUAUGACAGCCAGGAUGUUGGCUUGGAAGCAGCCAUUCAUUUAAAGAGUGCGUAACAGCUCACUGGUCGAGGGUUCGGGCACGGAAAAUGAUCGGGCAUCAAACAUAGCGCCGAAAUUGUAAACUAGCAGUAAUGCUAUUGGUAGGGGAGCAUUCCAGUCGGCGUUGAAGGUGUACUGUGAGGUAUGCUGGAGCGUCUGGAAAAGAAAAUGUAGGAAUGAGUAACGAUAAACAAGAUGAAAAAUCUUGUCGCCGUAAGACUAAGGGUUCCUGAUCAACGUUAAUCGGAUCAGGGUUAGUCGGGACCUAAGGCAAACCCGAAAGGGGUAGUCGAUGGAAAGCUGUUUAAUAUUCCAGCACUUGUAAUAAUUUCGAUGGGGUGACAGAGAAGUGAAAGGCCCGCGCAGUUACGGAAUACUGCGUUAAAGCGUGUAGGUAUAUCCUGGGUAGGCAAAUCCGCCUGGGAUGCUGAACGUGAUAGUACUCAGAGGCUUCGGCUGAAGAGAUAGUGGCCCUAAUCCUGCUCGCGAGAAAAACCUCUAAGGCUAGGUUAUUACAACCCGUACCGUAAACCGACACAGGUAGUCGGGAAGAGUAUUCUAAGGCGCUCGGGUGAGCCGUGGAGAAGGAACUAGGCAAAUUGUAGCAGUAACUUCGGGAUAAAGCUAUCCCGGCGCAAGCCGGGAUUCAAUGAAAAGGUUCAACCAACUGUUUAACAAAAACACAGGGCCCUGCAAAAUCGAAAGAUGACGUAUAGAGCCUGAUACCUGCCCGGUGCCGGAAGGUUAAGGAAGCUUGUCAGCCGCAAGGUGAAGCUUGCGACCGAAGCCCCGGUAAACGGCGGCCGUAACUAUAACGGUCCUAAGGUAGCGAAAUUCCUUGUCGGGUAAGUUCCGACCUGCACGAAUGGUCUAAUGAGUUGAACACUGUCUCCUCCGCGAGCCCGGUGAAAUUGUAGUAUCCAU